rnacentral:tRNA from 1 species
GCCCCCGUGGCUCGAACAGAUCAGGCAGCCGUCUUCUAAGCGGCGCGAUGCGGGUGCAAAUCCUGCCGGGGGUGCCA